rnacentral:rRNA from 1 species
UCCGUAGGUGAACCUGCGGAAGGAUCAUUAGUGAAACAUAAGAGUGCUCUUCAUUGAGGCUCGUUUUAACUAUCCAAACCACUUUGUGCAUUUGAAACAACACAUAACCAUAUUCUCUCUGUUGACGUUUUGAUUGAGAUUCAAUGGCUUCGGUCACUCUUUCGGAAUUGAAUGGUUUGAAUUGGUUAUAAACACAUAACCCCAUUGCUUUAAAUAAGAGAUGAUGAUGUAACAUAACCAUGAAAUUGAAAGUACAACUUUCAGCAACGGAUUUCUUGGCUCUCGCAUCGAUGAAGAACGCAGCGAAAUGCGAUACGUAAUGUGAAUUGCAGAACUCAGUGAAUCAUCGAAUUUUUGAACGCACCUUGCGCUCUCUAGUUAUUCUGGAGAGCAUGCUUGUUUGAGUGUCGCGAACCUCUCAACCCCGUCAAGGGCUUAAUUGCCUUUGAUUGCUUGGGCUUGGAUCAUGGUCUUUGCCGUUACCUUUCGGGGUUUGGGCUAGACUGAAAUGUAACAAGUUGAAUCAAAUCGGUAACAGCUUGACCUGAUGUUGUAAUCUACUCAUCGGGGAUGUUGCCAUUGAAAGGACUUUAAUAGAACCCCUUAUCGUACUUCGCGUACAAUUUAUGACCUCAAAUCAAGUAGGACUACCCGCUGAACUUAAGCAUAUCAAUAAGCGGAGGA